rnacentral:rRNA from 1 species
GAGAGAGACAUGCGCGCAUAUCAAUAAGCGGAGGAAAAGAAACUAACAAGGAUUCCCUUAGUAACGGCGAGUGAAGCGGGAAGAGCUCAAAUUUGAAAUCUUCAAGGUUUUACCUUGACGAAUUGUAGUUUAAAGAAGUGUUUUCUGCUGAAGUUUUGGUAAAAGUUCUUUGGAAUAGGACAUCAUAGAGGGUGAGAAUCCCGUAUUUGACCAUUAUUUCAGCUUUGUGAUACACUUUCAAAGAGUCGGAUUGUUUGGGAAUGCAGUCCAGAAUGGGUGGUAAAUUUCAUCUAAAGCUAAAUAUUGGCGAGAGACCGAUAGCGAACAAGUACCGUGAGGGAAAGAUGAAAAGAACUUUGAAAAGAGAGUUAAACAGUACGUGAAAUUGUCAAAAGGGAAGCGUUUGACACCAGUGUUGUUUUCUCGAAAAUCAAUUAAAAAUGGCUCGAUUUUGUAUUGUUGAGACCUUAAAAGCUCACUGUACAUUUUUCGUGUCUUUUUUAAUGCACUUUUCGUUUAACAAGUCAACAUCAGUUUCUUUUGUUGUAAAAGGGUCAUUGGAAGGUGGCUUUCUUUUCGGAGAAAGUGUUUAUAGCCUUUGGCCUCUGCAAUCGGAGAGAUUGAGGUCUGCAGCGUAGACUCUUCGGGGUUAGAUACAUUUGUGCUAAGUUAUAGCCUUUCAUAGACAACUUGUUGACUAUGAUCAGUCAUGUAGCUUACUCGCUUAUGCUAUUUUACCUACGCUUAGGAUGUUGAGUCGUAGAGCACGCAG